ensembl:lncRNA
CCUGUUUUGUUGUGUUUUGCCUGUCAUGUUCCUGUCCUCGUUUAGUAUAAUUAGUCAUUCAGUGCACCUGUGUUUGUAAUUAUCCUGUGUUUAUAAGUUCCUGUCUGUUCCUUAGUUCUUGGUCGGGUCUACUCGUUGUGUAUGUGUGUUUGUGCCAACACCCUUUGUGUGGAUUUAUCCUGUGUUCCUUGGAUUAAGGACUGUUUACAUUUCCACAUGCCUCCUACGUGCUCCUUCCUACAGCGUCAUGGCUGUGGUUGGCGAGGGUGAAUGUAAAGAUGCCUCCGUCUUCAUUUCCAUUUCCACAGUUGUCCUCUUUCAUCAUGGAGCCAGUGGCCAUUUACCUCCAAACAUCACUUCAGUUUUCCCAGAGGAGCUCCGUCACAGGACCACGGAGCCUCGCUUUGAUCAUCACAAAGACCCCAGAGUCUCUCAGGGGGACAGGUCUCUGUUUUUUUUCUCACUCUCUUUCUUCAAAUCUCUUAUUUUCCCCUGAGAAACUCUCAUCUCUCAAGACAAAAAGGGCCAUGGUGGUGAGCAGUGAGGCAGAACUGGUUUUUCCCAAGUAACAAACCAAACCAGUCCUACUUAGCUCUUCAUCACAGUUUAGAUGGAGACGUUGUGUUAAUGGAUUCAUCUGUUUCUCCAGCUUAGUUUUAAUAGAUGGUGUGUUUCACAAAAGAUCAUGUAAAAAUGUGACUUCAGUUUCUGUAAGAUAUUUAUUAAUGGUUCUGAAUAAAGGGUCUUAUUACUCACCAAGG